CUUCUUCCUCCUUUUCAUUUUUUCCUCAACUCCUUCCCCGUUUGCUUUGGAUCACCAGUUUGAAGAUCAACAUUCUGAAGAACUCCAAUUCGAGGAGGAAGAGCUUGAAGAGCAAGGACACUGGAAAUCGCAGAUCCAUAAUUUU